UACUUUCUUUCGCAUGAAGGAAAGUUGAAAGAUGGCUUCUUGCUAUCACUUACAGAUGGGCCCGCGGCGCAUUAGCUAGUUGGUGAGGUAACGGCUCACCAAGGCGACGAUGCGUAGCCGACCUGAGAGGGUGAUCGGCCACACUGGGACUGAGACACGGCCCAGACUCCUACGGGAGGCAGCAGUAGGGAAUCUUCCGCAAUGGACGAAAGUCUGACGGAGCAACGCCGCGUGAACGAUGAAGGUCUUCGGAUCGUAAAGUUCUGUUGUUAGGGAAGAACAAGUACCGUGCGAAUAGAGCGGUACCUUGACGGUACCUAACGAGGAAGCCCCGGCUAACUACGUGCCAGCAGCCGCGGUAAUACGUAGGGGGCAAGCGUUGUCCGGAAUUAUUGGGCGUAAAGCGCGCGCAGGCGGUUCCUUAAGUCUGAUGUGAAAGCCCACGGCUCAACCGUGGAGGGUCAUUGGAAACUGGGGAACUUGAGGACAGAAGAGGAGAGUGGAAUUCCACGUGUAGCGGUGAAAUGCGUAGAUAUGUGGAGGAACACCAGUGGCGAAGGCGACUCUCUGGUCUGUUUCUGACGCUGAGGUGCGAAAGCGUGGGUAGCAAACAG
rnacentral:rRNA from 1 species